GUGCGAGAGGAGGGGUGUGUGUAAAUGGAAUGUGUCAGGGCUCUAAUUUGGUAUGGAGCUAUUUCACACUGGGCUGCAGCAUGCUGCAGACUGGUGAAUAACUACUGUGGUGGUGAGAUCAUACACUCUGACUGGAACAACUGAUCUAGGAUAAGUGAGCCCGGUGCAGACUGAUGUCUGCUCCAGCACUGUGAAAAGGACAACUGAACCUUUUCAGUCAGGAUCUACGCUCUCUACUCACAUCAUCACAUAGGUAAAGGAAUGGAAUGGACAGCAGACGGCAGAGAGUCCCUUGAGCUGAUGAGAGUGACACCAGCGCUUCCCCAGGGCUCCAGGGAUGCUGUCCCAGCACAUAGUAAAUUCUGCCUGCUCUGACUCUGGUCCCUGUCUCCCUGACUUCUCGUCAGUCCUGCUACUCUGCCCUGGAUUCCCCACUCUAUGCUCCCUUCAAUUCCCCUCCGGACCUGCUUACCCUGUCCCAACACCUCUCGCUCCAGCCUCAGCCUCCGCACCUGGUUUCCGGCAACCCGCCCGAGCUUCCCCUGGCCCGCACUCAAUCUUCCCCCCGUGCUUCAAUAAAUACCUUGGUUACCUCAUCCCAGUCUCCUCGUGUGAGUCUGCUCUUGGGUUCAGCUGUUCCGCUCCGUGUGACACUCCUAUAAGUGCAGAGGAGGCGGAGAGGGCCCUGUCUGAGCAUGUGUAUAUUAAGAUGUAUAUUAUGGGCAUGAUUAAAAUCGGUUUAUUUCUCAGAACAUUGUUUUACCGUCAUUCAUGCAGGGCUACAACUGCUUAUGUACACUUUGCAGAAAGCUAGUAAGGUAGGGAGGGCAGCAGAAAUGGACUGGCCAUUGGGCCGUUCGGGAAAAGGUCAGAUGGGCUGGUCCAUAUGUAGCUCAGUGGGCCUGUCUAAAUUGUUGUUUUGUGUGUGUAUCAGACCUGGGAUAACUACAGAUUUUAAUAUGCUUCGUGAG
rnacentral:lncRNA from 1 species